GAUGCAGAGGAAGUAAGGUGGAAGCCACCAUGUCUUUUACAUAAGGGCUGAAUUCCAGGGCUUGGGCUCAAUAGGAGCCAACUUGGAGAAGAACUGAGAAGAGUAGCUUCAUUAAGACAAUAGAGGCUGUAUGCAUGGAUUCAAGACUGAUGUCCAUUCUAAGAUGAAUCAAUGAAGGGUUGGCCAUAGUUCACCCAUGUGGUGAUUUGGUGUUUUGAUUACACAACAGUGGUCAUCAAUUCUGGUGUGCAUCCAAAGGACCUAUGGACCUUUUUAAAAAAUCUGUGUGUCUGCCACAUCCCUCUGAAGUGGACUUAAGAGAACCCUGCACACCAUCAGCUUUGUGCUAGACAGCUCCCAGGAAGAUGGGUAGGACCUUGUGUGAUGAUAUUUUGAUAUGAAUGUUAAUUUUUAAAAAUCACAAAGGGAUAAAAAUCUGGAGUUGAAUGACAAGUGACCUCAGACACCUGGGAAGAGAGUGGACAACCUCCUGCAUUCUGAACUCCGUUCUCAGCCCUUUACU